rnacentral:rRNA from 1 species
GGACCCGCACAAGCGGUGGAGCAUGUUGCUUAAUUCGACGCAACGCGAAGAACCUUACCGGGGCUUGAAGUGCACAUGAAGGGCGCAGAGACGCGUUCCGCUCUUCGGAGCGUGUGCAUUAGGUGCUGCACGGCUGUCGUCAGCUCGUGUCGUGAGAUGUUGGGUUAAGUCCUGUAACGAGCGCAACCCCUAUCCACAGUUGCCAUCAGGUAAAGCUGGGAACUCUGCGGAGACUGCCGGUGAUAAACCGGAGGAAGGUGGGGAUGACGUCAAGUCAUCGUGGCCCUUACGUCCCGGGCUGCAAACGUGCUACAAUGGUCGGUACAAAGGGAAGCGAUACCGCGAGGUGGAGCAAAUCCCAAAAAACCGGUCUCAGUUCGGAUUGUAGUCUGCAACUCGACUGCAUGAAGUUGGAAUCGCUAGUAAUCGCGGAUCAGCAUGCCGCGGUGAAUACGUUCCCGGGUCUU